GACAGAGGCCCCAAGCGUUAGGCGGAAUCAUUGGGCGUAAAGCGCGUGUAGGCGGUCCGGUAAGUCCGCUGUGAAAGUCGAGGGCUCAACCCUCGAAUGCCGGUGGAUACUGUCGGGCUUGAGUACGGGAGAGGCGAGUGGAAUUCCUGGUGUAGCGGUGAAAUGCGCAGAUAUCAGGAGGAACACCGAUUGCGAAGGCAGCUCGCUGGAACGUUACUGACGCUGAGACGCGAAAGCGUGGGGAGCAAACAGG
rnacentral:rRNA from 1 species